CUGAUUACGUCAAAGGGUGCCCACACUAAAUCCAAGUGAGUUCAAAUUGGACCAAGUUAUGAAGCCGCCCGACAACCUUUACACUUGCCAUCACUCCACAAAACCUUUUAAUAGCAAGGAGAAUUGCAACUAACAUGCAUCAUCAAUGUUGUGAACUCCUUGUGGCCAUCACUGCUUCCUCGGUCCUCGUGGUCUGUUGCUUCCUCCAGCUUCGGUUCAGUAAUACAGAGCUCGAUCCCCCUCUUCACCGCCUCACUCUUCAAGGGUGCAGGGUUUCGCCGUGUAUUCCUUCAGGAAAAUCAUUUGACGAGCAAGGCUUUCAACUGAGGUGCGUCAUCCUUCAUUUUUCCGGCUUACAAGCCUUCCAUCGAAACAUUGUUUGUGCGCGUGGAGGUGUGGUGUUUUUAUGUUGUGGUGGAGUUAUCGCCAAGCUGCCAAGCAAUGACAAGCGCCGGGAGAAGGAAUAAAAAAGACUUGGAAGGCUUUGUACGGUAUGCUUGUCCGUGCUGUGAGCGCUAUGUUGCGCUGUCGGUUUGCCUGUUAGGUUCUCCUCUGAGUGGGUUUCCUUUUUGGUGACGGAGGUCGUGGUUUCAGAUAGCUUGCGAAGGUAGGAUCAUUGUUUGAUUUGAAGGAUUUGGAGAUUGAAGCAGAAUGGGAUUCCUGUUUUUGCACUUAUUUUUGGAUUUUGUCUAUGGUGUUGGACGAUCUGUCCGGCAUAAUCUGCCGCUAUUGCAGCAGCGGUUGCAGCUGCAACUCUAUAUUCCGCUCUCCUCGUCACGCUAGCUAAUCAAUAACCGUUCGAGUGCGUGUCUGGUUCGUCGGUGUGCAUUGGAGGCUGUCUUUGACUCUUUCUUUAGUGAUAAAGGCUUGGUUCCAGCCUUCUGAUGUAUGCAUACAAUCUGGACUUAUUCUGCAUGGUAGCUUGAGUGUCGUGGUGGUGGAGUUAAGAUGUGAUAGCCAGAUAAUAGUCUUCGUUUUCAUUUUCCCCCUGGUGGUGUCAGCUAAGUAAGUUGUGCUGGGGUACGUAAGAUCGACAUUCUGCUUUCUGCGUUGCUGUGAAUGUGUUUCUGCUUCCAAGUCCGAUUCCAGUUUCUUCCCCUCCCACGUGGUUGGAAUCGCCAUCGGUGGUAGUUGGUCCCACCGACUGUUUCGAUACUCUGGUCACUGUGUGCAGGGUCUGUGAGUCCUCCAAACCUACAUCAGUACCGCGUCACCCCCUUGGCGAUGCUUUACGUUUCCGACAGCGCCAAGUUUUGCUAUUCUGAGUGUUUACACGGCAUUGGUCCUUUGACACUGCACACAUUUGUGGCUGAUUUGUAAGCGUACUCUCAAACUUUUCAAAUGUGCUCUCUCUCUCUUCACUGUCAUGAACGCGCUUCCGGGCUGCUGCAUACCAGAUAGAUUGAAGGCCGUGGCCAACCUCUUUCCAACAAGAUCUACACAUUUUCCCCGUCAAAACCUUCACCCUGCGCGGUAAUCUGGGACAGUGCGCUGUCUCUCAUGAUCACUCUUUUCUAUCAAGCUUCAAUCUAUCGACGUUUACCUGUGGAUACCUCGCUCAUACCCACAUGCACCUGUGCAGUGAGGUCCAGGUCGCGGAAGUACAAAGCUAAGCCGUCGAGUCUGUCGGUUCACAUUAGUAUGAGCAAGCGGAAAUCCAAGGACAUCUGAGAACAGAGUAUACAAAUCGAAGUUUGACACCGUCAUAAAACAACUCUCAGCACUUUUUCUCCCAAAUCCGACAUGUACACCAGAAGCUGUAUCUGCUGGUUUCGACGCUUGCAAUAUGGGAUCGGCAUAAGGCAAGUAACACGAAACAGACUCCGCGACAAUGGCUUUUCUACCAUUCAGGCGACAUCGACUCUUGCACAUGCUUAGGGCAAUGCCAUCAUCGACAAUCAGACUCGCCCGGGGUGCAUCGUGCGUCGGCUGAAACAAAAACAGCAACUACCGUCACAAGGGGAACAAGCCGUAUAUUAGCUCUGAAAAGAACGAGCUUCAUCGAUCUUAGUGGUAUGGUGUGUAAUCAGCUGGCCGAGACCAUCAAGAGUAUCAAAUGCACUUUUAAUCAUAGGCUCACACACUUCAAGCGGACAGGCAUUGACGAAAUAGCCGAACCGAGGAACAGAAACCACGGAGUAAAAGAAACGAUCUCAACAAUUAAACAACACGACUCAAUCAAGCUGAAUUCCCCCGACAGAUCUCGAAGCGAUGUAGCCAAGCCAACCAAGAUUGUUAGAUGAAAGUUGCGACCUACAGUUUGUAUGGACGUAGAUUAGGGCUUCUAGUGGUUUCUCGAAAUGUGCCAGUUGGAUAAAAAGUUUGAAGGAUGUGGAGGUGCAAACUCCCUUGAAUGAAUUAUAGUCAACUUUGGAUGAGCACGUUCAUCGAGAAUGCACCAGGCACAAUUUAUUAUGCCUGGUGCACAAUUACUGAUUACCAGAUUCAUACUUUGUUUUAUUAUGUGGUUGAUGUUGUGAUGUACAAGAUGUCUACAUGGUUUCGUUUUAAUGAAACAUGAUCUAUCUUUGAAUGAAUUGAUGAUUGAUAUA